rnacentral:rRNA from 1 species
UACGUAGGGGGCAAGCGUUUGUCCGGAUUUAUUGGGCGUAAAGCGCACGUAGGCGGAUUGUUAAGUCAGGGGUGAAAUCCUGGAGCUCAACUCCAGAUCUGCCUUUGAUACUGGCGAUCUUGAGUCCGGGAGAGGUGAGUGGAACUGCGAGUGUAGAGGUGAAAUUCGUAGAUAUUCGCAAGAACACCAGUGGCGAAGGCGGCUCACUGGCCCGGUACUGACGCUGAGGUGCGAAAGCGUGGGGAGCAAACAGG